UACAGAGGAGCCAAGCGUUGUCCGGAUUGACUGGGCGUAAAGCGCACGCAGGCGGCACCGCGCGUGGGGUGUGAAAUCUGGCCGCUUAACGGCCAGGCGCCAUCCCAUACGGCGGAGCUGGAGUGAUGCAGAGGUCGAUGGAAUUGCCGGUGUAGUGGUGAAAUGCGUAGAGAUCCGGAGGAACCCCAGAGGCGAAGGCGGCGCCCUGGCUCGCAACUGACGCUCAGACACGACAGCAUGGGGAGCGAACGGG
rnacentral:rRNA from 1 species